rnacentral:tRNA from 1 species
GCGGAGGUAGCUCAAUGGUAGAGCUUCUGCCUUCCAAGCAGAAGGUUGCGGGUUCGAGUCCCGUUCUCCGCU